GUCGAACGCCCCGCAAGGGGAGUGGCAGACGGGUGAGUAACGCGUGGGAACAUACCCUUUUCUACGGAAUAGCUCUGGGAAACUGGAAUUAAUACCGUAUACGCCCUACGGGGGAAAGAUUUAUCGGGGAAGGAUUGGCCCGCGUUGGAUUAGCUAGUUGGUGGGGUAAAGGCCUACCAAGGCGACGAUCCAUAGCUGGUCUGAGAGGAUGAUCAGCCACAUUGGGACUGAGACACGGCCCAAACUCCUACGGGAGGCAGCAGUGGGGAAUAUUGGACAAUGGGCGCAAGCCUGAUCCAGCCAUGCCGCGUGAGUGAUGAAGGCCUUAGGGUUGUAAAGCUCUUUCACCGAUGAAGAUAAUGACGGUAGUCGGAGAAGAAGCCCCGGCUAACUUCGUGCCAGCAGCCGCGGUAAUACGAAGGGGGCUAGCGUUGUUCGGAAUUACUGGGCGUAAAGCGCACGUAGGCGGAUAUUUAAGUCAGGGGUGAAAUCCCAGAGCUCAACUCUGGAACUGCCUUUGAUACUG
rnacentral:rRNA from 1 species